GGUAGUGGGGGAUGACGUGCGGAAACGGACGCUAAUACCGCACACGUCCUACGGGAGAAAGCAGGGGACCUUCGGGCCUUGCGCUAUCAGAUGAGCCUAGGUCGGAUUAGCUAGUUGGUGAGGUAAUGGCUCACCAAGGCGACGAUCCGUAACUGGUCUGAGAGGAUGAUCAGUCACACUGGAACUGAGACACGGUCCAGACUCCUACGGGAGGCAGCAGUGGGGAAUAUUGGACAAUGGGCGAAAGCCUGAUCCAGCCAUGCCGCGUGUGUGAAGAAGGUCUUCGGAUUGUAAAGCACUUUAAGUUGGGAGGAAGGGUUGUAGAUUAAUACUCUGCAAUUUUGACGUUACCGACAGAAUAAGCACCGGCUAACUCUGUGCCAGCAGCCGCGGUAAUACAGAGGGUGCAAGCGUUAAUCGGAAUUACUGGGCGUAAAGCGCGCGUAGGUGGUUUGUUAAGUUGGAUGUGAAAUCCCCGGGCUCAACCUGGGAACUGCAUUCAAAACUGACUGAC
rnacentral:rRNA from 1 species